AUAAACACCAUUUAUUCGGAUAAGAAAUACUUUCACUUAAACCAAUUACAAUCUUUCAUUAAUCAAGUUGCGUGUUACUAACAGGACGUGGUGGGAUGGCGAAUAGCCUCGCUGUCUCUACAAAAUGGCACAAGAGUCCUACGAGGGUAACACAACGUGGCGAGAUCAUGCCGCCACUAAAAUAAGCAUGAAACCCAUUGGGCGUAAGAGAAGGAUACUCAAGUAAGAGUUUUAAUUUCAGGUGACGUGUUAUUACUAAUGGUUUGUGAUAGUUUACUUUUUGUUUCGUUUUAAUAGUUUAAAUUUCUUAUAUGACAUUUGUUUAUUUACAUGAAUUUUAUUAUAAAUUAAAUACAGUAUA